GCUGAGAAGAUUGAUACCACUCUCACACCUGUACACUGGGUGUGAAGCUACAGCUAGCAGAGCUUAGCUUAGCAUACAGGCUGGAAACGGGAAGCAGCUAGUCUGGCUGUGUCUGAAGAUUGCGCCCAACAGAAAUAAGAGAGCUGAACAAAGAAAAGACAACAGAAAGAGACAAAGGGACCUGUCAUUACUAUCAAUGUGAUUCGAGAGCUCAGAUUCAGUCUACCCAGGAACCAGAGGAUGAGCCAAGACACAGAGGACGGGGAGACAGGUUCAUUUCCCGCCGAACGGUGAAUGAGGUCAUCAAAUGAGGAGCCCGGGGGCCAUCCGUCCUCCUGUGAGGUCACCUCAGUGUCUGCCGCAGCCUGGAAAUACAACACAUGUCCUGGCAGUGGAGAGGAGAGAGAAAGUGGGUAAGAGUGUGCCUUCCAACCCCAAAGGACUGGACUCCAUCAGCCACGCAGCGUCAGUGGUGGAACCACAAGCAUUGGUAACCACACUCACAAAUGCUUAUGUCAGAUGUUAUAAAGUGCCCAUGUGGGCCUUAUGAAGGACCCCUGUGUGCCAUCUCUAAUAAAGGGCCCUUUUAUCCCCA